rnacentral:misc_RNA from 1 species
UAAAAUUAUAUUAAUGGGUAAGGAAAGAAGAAUAUUUCAAAAGUAAGAAUAGCGUUCACUUUUAUUCCCACAAUCAGGAACGUAUAAAAUACAAAUAUAAAUACGCAAUACAUACUUGGCAAUUGUAUCGAACAAAGAAACCUAUGACCAUAUCAAAUCAAGAGAACUGUCGAAAGCACACGGAUUCAAUGAGACGUAUAGUCGACAACUAUACAAUUUGCAUGUAUAUAAUUUACAUAUGCUUUGCGAAUCGACAAACGCGUAUAUUUCUUGAAAUUUGAAUCAAGAACGUGUAGCGUACAGUCGGCAUUUCUUCAAAUGCAUUAUUAAUGCAUUAUUAAUUUUCCACUAACUACGUCGAUAUUCGUAAUUUAUUAAUAAUCGUAUAAAACAUUGUCUCGUCAAAUUACCACGAUCGUGGUAAUACGCUUUACGAAAAUAACGUUUUACAAACGUCUAAUUUGAAUAUGAAAUUUUCAAAACAACACACAAAAGACUAGAACGAGAGUCUUACGUGUACCUAUACGAAUUUCGAAGGAACGUUCGAAAAAUUGUCAUUGUCGGUAAGCGAUAUGCCGAAGCAAUUUACUCUGUGCGUAACUAAUUUGAUAAUCGAUAUGGUCAAAGAAGUUCCAAUAUCGAUGGUGAUAAAUUUUGAAAGAAGAGAUUUUUUCUAAUAGAAAUUGCGAUAAAUAUUCGAGAAAAAGAGUUGUUUUCUGGCUCAUCUCGUGAAACGAAUUAACCGCCCCCAACGAAGUAAUCGACCAGAGUCGAGACUCGGAUCGUUACUGUCGCUAAAAAAGAAAGAACACCAGCGUGUUAUAGUCACCGUAAAAACACGAGUAACCGUACUUCUAAACACGAGUACCGACAAC